CUGAUCGUCGUUUCUGUACGCAUUCUAUGCGAAAAGGUCCCUCCUCCAUUGUAAUUUGUUUCCGAUACCUUUCUCCUCAAACGAGAGUCACGCCUCUUUGUCCAUCUCCUAGCGCUUGCCAUCGACGGUGGCGGCGGUCCAGAUCUCGCGCAAACCUCCGGGACUACGUCCACUGCAGGGGCUACCUGCCUCCUCCAGGUCGACCGGCUCCACCACCCAGGCGUCCCCGGCGUCGUGCUCCACAUCGUCGAGUGGGAUUCGGCCGUCGCCACCGCCACGGUCUCCACCUCUCCAGGGGCAGCGGGCGCCCCUCCCCACUCCCCCGACGGGUCCGUGACCGGGCUGAACACCCACGGCACGCGCGUGAAGACGCAGCCCGACGGCCGCACGCCAAAGCUCUUCUUCGUCGUCUCGGUCGAUUGAACAGAUGAACCUUAUAUAGAGUCCAUGGAGGUCCUGGUCUCUCCCAACACAUGAAGCUAGAUGAGCAAGAAGGAUAACGACUGCCAAAGGCUAGAGCUUUUCUAUCAUGUACCAUCAAGAUGCUUGUUGGCUAUCAGUCCUUAAUACUAAGUCUUGCGGACAUGUACUGAAGAUGAUCCUCUCAUGUUAUAAGGAUGCAUCAUUUGAUACCUGUGUUCCUCAUGUGUUCUGUUCCGUCUGGGAUGGCUUAAUUUUCUCAUGUACUCAAGUACUUCCAGUUUGACAUGUGUGUAGUUCUGCUUGAAGAGAUGGCUUAAUUUCCUCAUGUGCUCAAAUGUUUGUGAUGUAUAAUGUCGUACUUUUUAGUGCUCAAC
rnacentral:rRNA from 1 species